ACCCCAUUUAAAGAGGCAUCAACCCCCUCCUUUUUA
rnacentral:tRNA from 1 species